GCUUUCCCACGGCAUCUCACACUAUCCUUUCACGGAGAUUAGAGGUUGCUCCCUGGGGCAGGAAAGGGGCUUCCAGAGGCAGAUACUCACAAGUCACUGCUGCCUUCUAGUCUCCUCUGGCUGUCUGCUUGGUCCCUGGACCUGUCCCUAAACCAACCAGUUACACAGCCUUCUAAUUGUGGAGAUACGGCGUGCAUCUGGAAGAUCAAACCAGAUCUACAUGUACACGAAUGGAAAACGGAAAAGCAUUAAAAAUCUGCGGUCUUGAGCACCCAGGAAGUAAAGGAAGCAGUCUCGGGACUGAGCAGAACACAGCAGGGGAUAGACUCUGAAGGCUUGAGAGCUGCCAGGAACCAGGAAUGCUUCAAACUUGAGCCGUUUCUGCCCCGCUAGAGCUACGCUGGCUUCUAACCACUUCAAACACACAGUGGAGUGCCCAAAGCAAUGUAACCUUGCUGGCUGUAGAAGUCUGCAAAACCAGAGAAAAACUGGAGUCAGCUGGCCUCAGAGAUGGAGGAUCACACAAGAGGACACUCUACAACCUAAGUCUACUUUCUAUAAGGCAGGAAUUUGCCUGCCUCGACUCCACAUCUCUGGGAUGGUGAGGGAGGCCUACCUUGAACACUCUGUAGGUGAGUGGCAGGGAUCAAACUGUCUCGGUGCGUCUGUGAGGGUUUGGACUGUCAACAUCAAGUGAAAUUUCUCAAGAACCAACAGGAUUGGGGUAAGAAAGUCCCUGCUGGCCCAUGCAGGCACAGGCAUGCACACUGGGGCUGAGGAGAAUUCUGGAAUCAAGGAGGCAGCUGAACAAGACACAGCUGUUUGGAGACCAGCAUUCUGGGGAAGGCCCCUCUCUGUACAGCCCAGGAGGGAAUCUCUGAAUAGUUGCACUCUUGGACUGCGCUCAGUGUUCCUCAUCAGCUGGAGGCCGCAUCAUCAGCUUCAUUUUGUUGCCUCUGUCAUUGUUUUGGAGCCUUAGAGCGUGAACGUGCCUGGCCCCCUGCCAUGGCUGCAGGAGUGGAGCCAGGGUGUGUACUGCAGCCCAGAGGAGGAGCCUCACACUCUUCUGCAAAAAGAUUCCAGGGAGGAAAUCUGGAAAGUCUUUUCAAAACAACUCACAAAGGAAGGAGAGCUGCCAACUCUUGCAGGGUUGGUUUGCCCUAAUAAAUGAUCAGUUACUUAACGUGAGCACCACUCAGUGCUUCUUCCAUGCUGGAAGCCCUGGCCCCAGCAAGGGAGCGAAGGCUUUGUAUGACCAGGAGGACAUUCUGAGUCAUGAUCAGCAUGGAGGCCCCGUGAUCAGGACAGGAGGAGGGGACCAUAGAGAGGCUGAGGGAAGUGGUCGUCUCACACAGUAAAGCACUGCUAACAGACGAGAACCUGGGCUAGUGUUUUAUGUGAUUAAAA
rnacentral:lncRNA from 1 species